CAGCAGCCGCGGUAAUACGUAGGUGGCAAGCGUUAUCCGGAAUUAUUGGGCGUAAAGCGCGCGUAGGCGGUUUUUUAAGUCUGAUGUGAAAGCCCACGGCUCAACCGUGGAGGGUCAUUGGAAACUGGAAAACUUGAGUGCAGAAGAGGAAAGUGGAAUUCCAUGUGUAGCGGUGAAAUGCGCAGAGAUAUGGAGGAACACCAGUGGCGAAGGCGACUUUCUGGUCUGUAACUGACGCUGAUGCGCGAAAGUGUGGGGAUCAAACAGGAUUAGAUACCCCUGUAGUCCCUGUCUCUUAUAC
rnacentral:rRNA from 1 species